GGCGGCGUAGCUCAGUUGGUUAGAGCACACGGUUCAUACCCGUGAUGUCACUGGUUCGAGUCCAGUCGCCGCUACCA
rnacentral:tRNA from 1 species